rnacentral:rRNA from 1 species
GGGCCCGCACAAGCGGUGGAGCAUGUGGUUUAAUUCGAUGAUACGCGAGGAACCUUACCAGGGCUUAAAUGUAAGUUGCAUUAGCUAGAGAUAGCUAUUUCUUCGGACCACUUACAAGGUGCUGCAUGGUUGUCGUCAGCUCGUGCCGUGAGGUGUCAGGUUAAGUCCUAUAACGAGCGCAACCCCUGUUGUUAGUUGCCAGCGAGUCAUGUCGGGAACUCUAACAAGACUGCCGGUGCAAACCGUGAGGAAGGUGGGGAUGACGUCAAAUCAUCACGGCCCUUACGUCCUGGGCUACACACGUGCUACAAUGGUCGGUACAGAGAGCAGCCACUGCGCGAGCAGGAGCGAAUCUAUAAAACCGGUCUCAGUUCGGAUCGGAGUCUGCAACUCGACUCCGUGAAGCUGGAAUC